CAAAAAGUAGAAUUUUUUUCCAGCUAGAUCAACAAAUGAUGCAACAAUAGAACCACGUGAAAAAGGUCAAUGUUAAUGUUUAGAAAGUUUUUAAUAACAAUGUGCCCAUUUCUCAAGAAUAAACUAAUUUAGAUCAGUUUGGAGUUGAUAUUUAGACAGCAGGCUCCUCUGGGCGCGGUGCCCUGCAUGUUUUAGACAUUUCUCUGCUCCUGAUUCAGCCUGUUAAUCUGCCAUCAGUAGAUUCAGGUGAGCUGAAGCAGAGAAACAUGUCAAAUAGAGGAGGUCAGGUCCAGUGGACCCACUGCCAUGCUGCUACUUUUAGAAACAUUUCUUCUCCAACACACCUGAAUCAAAUGAAUGGCUCGUUACCACGCCUCUGUCUUUGGCCUUAUUAAGGUAAUAAUAACUUAAUAAUGUUUCACACAUAACUGUUUUUGUUGUUACUGUAUGCCAUUGGUUAUAAGAAAAUGACAGAAAAAAAUUAGUUGGUAAGAAAACAAAUGCAUUUUAUUGAAUGUUGCAUUCAAUAUUUACUGAAAAUGAAGACAAGGAUGUAGUUUGCAGAUUUAUGACAAAAUAAUAUUUGUUCCAUUGGUGCCCUUCUGUUAUGGAUUUUCAAAGCAGAUAUUUCACCAAAACCAAGAUAACUGUUAAAACUGAGCUUUUCAUUAAAUUUAUAGUUAUUUUUAUGUAAUAUUUGUCCAAAGCUGUGGAAGCGCCAAAGAGCCACAUGAGGUGUGGAGCCGGCGUUGUCAACCAUUGAGAACGAUGAGAUGAACCCACAACAAUAACAGGAAGACUUUCAUUACGUUCCUUGGUUUCCUUCACGGCUUUGGAGAGCAGAACAAGUCACCGUCCAGGAAUAUUCUCUUUCUUAUCUGACAUACCUCACUUUUUGAAAAGGACUAAAAAAACGAAUCUUACUCAGUUAUGAAAACACUGAAACAGUGACUGCCACAGCAUUGAACCAGAAGUUCAGUUUAGUUGGUGUUUUUGAUUUGAACUCUGAACUUGAGCCAUUUUAGAAGAUCUUUCAUCUGGAUAAGAAGGACUUUUAUCUUUUAUCUCACUCAUAUGCUUGGCUAGACUGAAAUAGAUUCUUAUUAGACUGAACGGCAUAAAACGGUCAUGCUAUGCCUUUAUUUUCCUCAAUGAAAUAGAUUAUAUUUUAUUUUUCAAUGAUUGGAUACAACCCUCUAAGUUUUGAACAACACAUGGAGUCAGAGUGACCUGUUCUUUGUAUUUGCUUUGCUAAUUCUCACAGGUUUGCCAAUCUGCUGUAGACGUUUUGAUCUCUUUGGCCAGACGUUGUUUCCAGCCACUGCAUUUUGUUCUGUCUGCCUCUGUGUGCUAAGAUGCACAAUACCCCCAGAAGCAUUAGACACCGCUCCAAAUAAUUUAAUUGAAAUGGUCUUAAUACAAUUCCAAGGGUAUGCAUUUAAAAUAAAGCACCCAGGCAUUGCUUCUACAAACAUUUGGUUAAGAAUGGCUCAUGAUCAGGAGUUCAGUGGACUUCAGCGUGGUUCCAGCAUCCAGACGUUUCAUCACUAACUACAAUCCAAAGGGCAGUGAUAUUUUAGAGUGCACACUCCAGCUGCACUAUAAAACAAUGAAAGGUGACCUGUGAAGUGACAAAUCACACCUCUCUCUCCUUAGUAAUUUUGAGCCUGGGUGAACCAGUUGUCAGGUAAAUGUAACAACUUUAGAAAAUGUGCUUUUAUUUUUUAUUAUUAUAAUGUUUGAAAUUUCACCAAAUCCUGAUUAACACUGAAGAAUCCUAUUUCUUUCUUAUAUUUUAAGAAUAUUAUUAUUUUACUUAUUUUGAUAAGCACUAGUACCUGUACUGUCACUUUAAGAGAUUGUCUUAUGACAUCAGCACUGUAUUAUCUUCAGUUGGCGCUAGGCUGCCUGAGAAGAGGUAGGAAAUUUUCUUUGCUUGUGUUUACUCUCGCGUUUUAUGAAAUAUAUAAAAUAAUUGUAAGUGCAUGCAGCUGUGAAUGUUAAUUUGUUUUAACACAUACAGAGGAGUAUUCUUUUUGACAAGUUAAGAAUUUUUUUCUUAAAUGUUAGAGCAGAUAUUGUUGUUAGUUAGUCACAGGGUUUCUCCAUGUGUUUGUCUGCUAGGGGAAUUCCGACUCCUGUGAAUGGAAGAGCUGCAUCUUAAAGGGCAUUUUUAUUUCUGUUUGUGCAGGCCUCUGCCAGCAACCUGCAUUAAAGAACAACCAACAACUCCUGUGGUCUGACUCCCUUCUCCAUCUGAACACAACGCAGAACACAUCAAGGUUAACCGACUGUAUAAGACUAGGAUAUCAGAAAAGAACACUAAUAGUAUACACCGGUUACAUAAACAACAUAACCCUGAAUGCAAUGUGUCAAGUGCAACAUUAGGUGCAGAGAGGAGCGUAAUGAGGGGCUGUUUUCAGAGGUUGGUUUUACUGCUUGGUUCCAUUACAAGGAGCAAUUUUAAUAUUUCAUCACAGUCAUUUUAGACAGUUUCAUGACUCUUAAGACAGGGCCAGGAUGGACUUUCCUGUUUCAAUAUGACUCAUUGCACCAAAGGAGCAUCUGAAUGGGUUUGUUCAUUGUUCAUGUUGUCUGGCCUCCACAUGUUCUUCACCUGAACCAGUUCCUCCAACAUCAGUAGCUGCGUUUCCAUUGACCAUGAAACUGGGCAAACUGAAAUUCUGAAAAUAUAUUUGCUUUGUGGGAACACGGCAAUUAAAUUUUUUUGAUAAAACGUUUUUCAGUAAGAUCAGAACACUUUCUUCGUAUCACAAUGCACGUGAUCAACAGCUGGAUGUACUACUGGGGAAAACCAUGAAGAAGAAGACAACAGGAAGUGGCCAUUUGUUUUUGUUUUUCAGACAGCGUGCAGCCGGCUCCACCAGCUCUCACAGCAGCUGCAUGGUUCAUAAAAUGUUGUGUGUCUGGAAAAUCACCAGUUUCUGCAAAUUCAAAUUCUAUUGAAGCAGAAUUACCAUUUCAACCAAACAGACCAUAUAUUUUGUAAACCUACAGUUUAUUGUCUCAUAAUGACAUGAGAUCGGUCACACUUAAAAGAUAAAAAGUACCAAUAACUUUUUGUCCCCUGAUCUAAAUAAAAAUCACUGAAAAUCAUGCACGCUA